rnacentral:rRNA from 1 species
GGCGAUCAGAUACCGCCCUAGUUCUAACCGUAAACGAUGCCAACUAGCGAUCUGUGGAGCAUAUCUAUAUGACUCCACAGGAAGCUUCCGGGAAACCAAAGUCUUUGGGUUCCGGGGGAAGUAUGGUUGCAAAGCUGAAACUUAAAGGAAUUGACGGAAGGGCACCACCAGGAGUGGAGCCUGCGGCUUAAUUUGACUCAACGCGGGGAAACUCACCCGGCCCGGACACCGUAAGGAUUGACAGAUUGAUAGCUCUUUCUUGAUUCGGUGGGUGGUGGUGCAUGGCCGUUCUUAGUUGGUGGAGCGAUUUGUCUGGUUAAUUCCGAUAACGAACGAGACUCUAGCCUAUUAAAUAGUGGCUGAAUUUCUAGUUCAGCAUACUUCUUAGAGGGACAAGGGGUAUCUAGCCCCACGAGAUUGAGCAAUAACAGGUCUGUGAUGCCCUUAGAUGUCCGGGGCUGCACGCGCGCUACACUGAAGGAGUCAACAUGCAUUGAUCCCUAGUCUGGAAAGACUGGGUAACCCAAUGAAACUCCUUCGUGAUUGGGAUAGGGAAUUGUAAUUAUUUCCCUUGAACGAGGAAUUCCUAGUAAAUGCGGGUCAUCAUCUCGCGUUGAUUACGUCCCUGCCCUUUGUA